CAUAGGUGGCUCCAGGGGUGACCCUUGUGAUGCCACCUUCAAGUCUGGGCCACCUGUCCCAUGCUCCUGAAGUUGCCAGGAAAAGGCAGGAGAGCAGAACUCUCUGUUGACCUUUCUUGGGGUGCUAGGAAGGACAACAAGUGAGUAGACAAGUGACUAGAUCUUAAGUUGUUCAUUGGCAGCUGCAAGCUCUUAGGUGAGAUGCCUGAAUUGGCCCACCGAGAUUGCUCACUCUCAGAUGGGUUUUCACUAGAGAAGACAAAUUGUAGGGUGCUCAGAAACACCACUAAUUCAUGCAAAGGUCCUGCCCCUUUAUACUCCUUGCAGCUGAAGGACCUCUCAUCAGGUUUUGGGUGUGGGACCUGUGGCUCUCCAGAUUCUGUUGAAUUCCAUCUUCCAUUACUCCCAACCAACAUGCCCAAUGGUCCACUGGGGGUUGUAGUCCAACAGUAGCCACAGGUUCCCUGUCGCUGAAUUAAUCUCUGCUUGACUACAGUGGUACCUUGGGUUACAGACGCUUCAGGUUACAGCUGCUUCAGGUUACAGACUACGCUUACCCAGAAACAGUACCUCGGGUUAAGAACUUUGCUUCAGGAUGAGAACAGAAAUCAUGCAGCAGCGGCGUAGCGGCAGCAGGAGGCCCCAUUAGCUAAUGUGGUGCUUCAGGUUAAGAACAGUUUCAGGUUAAGAAAGGACCUCCAGAACGAAUUAAGUUCUUAACCUGAGGUACCACUGUAUAUAAAAACCCAGGUUGCAUACACAGCAUAUGUUUAAAGCACACCCUGCCCCGCUGGAACAAUCCUGGAAAAUGUAGUCUUCCCCUCACAGUGCUGCAGUUCCCAGCAUCCUCAGGAUGAGGGAGGGGGGAAUGUGCUUUAAACGUCUGUUGUGUGCACCAAAAUUUCAAGUCAGAUCACUUGGUAUUGUGUACACUGACCAGCCAAAGUUUCUGGGAGGAGUCUUUCCCAGUUCUGCUAGAGACCCUAUCGAUUUGCCUGUCCUCAGACCUAAUGACAUAUUUGGCAUCAGGUGUAGGGCAGGUGGGUGUGGCUUUGCUGAAACAGCCUUGCAGGCCAAAUGGGGAGACCUGUUGGGCUGAAUUAGACCUCUGGGAUGGAGGUACCCCACCAAGUGUUCUAUAAAGUGGGCCUUCACAGGAUCAGAUUCUGCUAUCCUAAGGCAUUCAUCCAGGUCCUGCAAUUUUCCCAUCUGACCAAGCGCCAGGCUGUUCUGCUGAUUGAUACAGUACUAGUUAUAUAAGAGCCACAUUGGAUAAGAUAAAAAACCCACCUUGUUAAGUUGUGGGUGAACAUAUCAGACGACACAGCGAUUCUUCAAACAGCUCUUGUUUAUUCACAGGCCAGAACAGAACUGAACUGAAGGGUUCAGCCAGCCUGCUUAUAUAGAGCUCCACUAGAACACAACAGUAACCACUUUCUGUAACUAUCCAAUCACUGAACGUCACUUUCAAUCCCUUAUUUGCAUAUGUGGACCUGAACUAUCUACAGUAUCCCCCUGCUGGCCCAGGGUGAGAACUUCAGUACAUAACACCCCUUGUUCAUUUUGUCCCCGCAUGGUGGCCAACCAGAUCUUUCUGGCAGCUUUAGACUGAUUUCCCAAUUUCCUCAGAUCUUGCCCAACACCCUAAGGUUGUCCAUCCAACUGGAACAGAAGGAUGAAGUGUUGUCCUGUGCAGCACAAAUUUCAGGUUUCUGUGAGCAGAAAGGAUAAUUGAUCUUGCUGCCCUCCCAUCCACAACUUGGUAUCUGUGUCUGCUUCCUCCUCUCGUGCCCCACGUUGCCUUCCAAUGGGUCCUGCUGUCCUAUUAUGUAAGAACAUGAGAAGAACUAGGCUGGAUCAGGCCCCUUAAGGCCCAUCAAGUCCAGAAUCUCACAGUGACCAACACGAUACAGGUGGAAAGCCCAGUAAACCUGUUUCCAAACUCCAGUUUCCUUUGCUCGUUACCUUUCUGAUUUUUGAACUAAUUAUUGGCUAGAUUUGUCUGAGAAGGGACCCGGUUAGAAGCGGUGCCAGUUUGGGGAAAUGAAAUACACUGAAGUCAAAUGGCCUCGGUUCACUCACCAGAUAAACAUUUCUUUUUUCAAGCAAAGGGAUCGCUGUGUUUUAAAACGAUGGAAGGAGAGUUUCUGUCCUGGCAAACACACAAUAGUGCCGUUUCAGCAACAACAAAAGCGCACAAACACUUCCUGCGAAUGUCUCUCCCAGAUGAGAUCAUUUGAAAUACGCAUCUUGAUUUUGUUGAUAACCAAUGAGUCACGCAAUGUUAUAAAAUGAUGUCACUGGGAUUUAAUUAACUGCAGUCAUUUCCGCAUGUUCAUGCGGGUACAAGGGAGCUCCCCAGAGAAGAAGAAUCAGGGAUACUUUGGCUGACUAAUCGCAGCCUUCCACCAAUUCAUUUGCAUGGAAUCCACAAUAUAUGUGAGUGCACUCAAAUUGUGUUUCAGGCUGGAUUAAUGGUCUGAAACAUGGUCCUCAGUUUCUCCUUGCCCUUCCUGGCCUCAGUUCUGGUCCUGUCUAUCCUCCUGAACCAUCUCUCAGUGGUAGGGUACAUCUGCUGUAAGUAGAAAAGUUGAAUCCCUG
rnacentral:lncRNA from 1 species